GACGAACGCUGGCGGCGUGCUUAACACAUGCAAGUCGAACGGAAAGGCCCUGCUUUUGUGGGGUGCUCGAGUGGCGAACGGGUGAGCAACACGUGAGUAACCUGCCCUUGACUUUGGGAUAACUUCAGGAAACUGGGGCUAAUACCGGAUAGGAGCUCCUGCUGCAUGGUGGGGGUUGGAAAGUUUCGGCGGUUGGGGAUGGACUCGCGGCUUAUCAGCUUGUUGGUGGGGUAGUGGCUUACCAAGGCUUUGACGGGUAGCCGGCCUGAGAGGGUGACCGGCCACAUUGGGACUGAAAUACGGCCCAGACUCCUACGGGAGGCAGCAGUGGGGAAUAUUGCACAAUGGGCGGAAGCCUGAUGCAGCAACGCCGCGUGCGGGAUGACGGCCUUCGGGUUGUAAACCGCUUUCGCCUGUGACGAAGCGUGAGUGACGGUAAUGGGUAAAGAAGCACCGGCUAACUACGUG
rnacentral:rRNA from 1 species